AAUCAACGCUGGCGGCGUGCCUCAGACAUGCAAGUCGAACGAUUAAAGCUCUCUUCGGAGAGUGUAUAGAGUGGCGCACGGGUGAGUAACACGUAAGUAAUCUACCUUUGAGUGGGGAAUAACCCGGGGAAACCCGAGCUAAUACCGCAUAAUGCAGCGGCAUCGCAAGAUGACAGUUGUUAAAGGAGCAAUCCGCUUAAAGAGGAGCUUGCGGCAGAUUAGCUAGUUGGUAAGGUAAUGGCUUACCAAGGCUACGAUCUGUAUCCGGUCUAAGAGGACGGUCGGACACACUGACACUGAAUAACGGGUCAGACUCCUACGGGAGGCAGCAGUCGGGAAUUUUGGGCAAUGGGCGAAAGCCUGACCCAGCAACGCCGCGUGAAGGAU
rnacentral:rRNA from 1 species